AGAGUUUGAUCCUGGCUCAGGAUGAACGCUGGCGGCGUGCCUAACACAUGCAAGUCGAACGGUCGCAAGACAGUGGCGCACGGGUGAGGAACACGUAGCUAACCUGCCCUCAAGAUUGGGAUAACGGAUCGAAAGGUCUGCUAAUACCGAAUAAGCUCACGCGAAGUAGAGGCGAGUGAGAAAAGGAGCAAUCCGCUUGAGGAGGGGGCUGCGGCCUAUCAGGUAGUUGGUGAGGUAACGGCUCACCAAGCCGACGACGGGUAGGGGGCCUGAGAGGGUGACCCCCCACACUGGGACUGAGACACGGCCCAGACUCCUACGGGAGGCAGCAGUGAGGGAUAUUGCACAAUGGGCGCAAGCCUGAUGCAGCGACGCCGCGUGAGUGAAGAAGGCCUUCGGGUCGUAAAACUCUUUUGCCGAUGACGAGGAAGGACGGUGGUCGGCGAAUAAGCUCG
rnacentral:rRNA from 1 species